AUUGAACGCUGGCGGCAGGCCUAACACAUGCAAGUCGAGCUAGCGGCGGACGGGUGAGUAAUGUCUGGGAAACUGCCUGAUGGAGGGGGAUAACUACUGGAAACGGUAGCUAAUACCGCAUACCAUCAGAUGUGCCCAGCUGGGAUUAGCUAGUAGGUGGGGUAACGGCUCACCUGGGCAACGAUCCGUCACUGGUCUGAGAGUCUGAUCAGUCACACUGGAACUGAGACACGGUCCAGACUCCGACGGGAGGCAGCAGUGGGGAUGAUUGGACAAUGGGCGAAAGCCUGAUCCAGCCAUGCUGGGUGUGUGAAGAAGGUCUUCGGAUUGUAAAGCACUUUAAGUUGGGAGGCGUUACCAACAGAAUAAGCACCGGCUAACUUCGUGCCAGCAGCCGCGGGAAUUC
rnacentral:rRNA from 1 species